CCUCUUCAACUUCUCCCUCUAUCAACAUCAGGCUCUGCUGCUCCCAGCAAUGAUGGAGUGUUACCUGUGGCAAGGUCGGAUGCAGCAGGGUCUCUGCUGUUUCGUGGAGUUCCGUGGGGCAGUCAAUUUUGCUGCCCCGGAAAAACUGUGUCCCGCUCUCAACAUUAUGCCUCCCUCUUUGCCACUCUUCCUGCCACAGUUUCGAACAGUACAAUUUUAUGUACAUCUCCCCCACACGAACUGAUAAGGCAUUUUGUUGUCUGCCUGUGUUAUAUCCAGCCGUUGAUGGUCUGGUAAAGGAGAUGACAUUCUUUCCCUUUCAGCCAUCACCUGUGGAGCCCUGGGUUGCUGGCUUGCUGAGCCCUGGCUGUCAGUAGGAAGUGUUUUAUUUACAAUACUCCUUUAAGUAGCAUGUUUACAUGACCAAUUUAUUGAUUUAUUUGUUUUGCAGUGCACAGCCUGUCCUCACCGCUGCCCCUGAUACCAGGAUGAUAAUAUCAAUUAAAAAAAAUCAAGAGCAAACAACAAAAAUCUGUGCAUGUCCAUUUUGUCUUUCAAGCUUGAAGUUUCAAUAUUGUAGUUGCUGUGAUUGUUGAUGGACAAAGGUAUCACAAUUUCAGUGGUUUCUGAUAUUGUUUAGCUCAAUUGUUAAAGGCUCUUCACAUGGUGGUUAGACUGAGGCUAACACCCCGUUACUUACUGGAUUCAAACUCCAGCAGCCCUGGACCCACAUUCACUUCUUUUCUUGUGUUCAGAUUACUAAGCCUUAACUAAAGUUGGCUCAUAAAAUUUGUCAUGGCCCAUUUAGCCAAGUCCUCUGUUGUGGGUUUUAAAAACAGACCAUGAAAUUUGUUUUCAAAGUCUGAUACAGGACUGUUAUACGUGUUUUUAAGGGUUUAGAAUAGCCUAAGGCUAAGUUUGCACAUGUGAAAAACCUUGAACAAAAUUGAAUUAUAAUUAUUACAAUUAGUCAACAGUAAAACAACAAAUGUGAAACACAAAAAUUAUGGAAUGGAACAUGAGGAAUAAUGUGAAAAAAUAACUCAGCAGUUUACUG